rnacentral:rRNA from 1 species
GUAGGUGGCAAGCGUUGUCCGGAAUUAUUGGGCGUAAAGCGCGCGCAGGUGGGUUCUUUAAGUCUGAUGUGAAAGCCCCCGGGCUCAACCGGGGAGGGUCAUUGGAAACUGGGGAACUUGAGUGCAGGAGAGGAAAGUGGAAUUCCACGUGUAGCGGUGAAAUGCGUAGAUAUGUGGAGGAACACCAGUGGCGAAGGCGACUUUCUGGCCUGUAACUGACACUGAGGCGCGAAAGCGUGGGGAGCAAACAGGAUUAGAUACCCUGGUAGUCCGCGCCGUAAACGAUGAGUGCUAAGUGUUGGGGGGUUUCCGCCCCUCAGUGCUGCAGCUAACGCAUUAAGCACUCCGCCUGGGGAGUACGGUCGCAAGACUG